rnacentral:misc_RNA from 1 species
GGACUGUGUAUGUGUUUACAAUUUCAACUACUGUCCAUCUCUCCGGUCUAUUAGCUUACUGCUAGACUAUAGCAUUGAUGUGCUGAUGAGCCCUGUGUCUGUCAUCUGUGUUUUCUAUGGCCAAUCUUGAUUCGUUAUUGUUUUGCUUUCACUGGAAAAUUUAUUAGAGAUUUUACAGUCAUGUGGUUUGAUGUACAAAGUGGUCUAGACAACUUUAUGGGCCAAAUAGAUAUUGAACAUACCAUUUAUAUUAUGUGUAUUUUCUUAGUUUGUGAUGCCCUGCUCCAAAUUAAAAUGAUCUUAUAUGCCAUGCUUGCUCGUGGAUACAGAUUCAAAAUGAUUAUAAGGUCA